rnacentral:rRNA from 1 species
GAUGAACGCUAGCUACAGGCUUAACACAUGCAAGUCGAGGGGAAACGAUAGAGAAAGCUUGCUUUUUCUAGGCGUCGACCGGCGCACGGGUGAGUAACGCGUAUCCAACCUGCCCAUCACUUGGGGAUAACCUUGCGAAAGUAAGACUAAUACCCAAUGACGUCUCUAGAAGACAUCUGAAAGGGAUUAAAGAUUUAUCGGUGAUGGAUGGGGAUGCGUCUGAUUAGCUUGUUGGCGGGGUAACGGCCCACCAAGGCGACGAUCAGUAGGGGUUCUGAGAGGACGGUCACCCACAUUGGAACUGAGACACGGUCCAAACGCCUACGGGAGGCAGCAGUGAGGAAGAUUGGUCAAUGGACGAGAGUCUGAACCAGCCAAGUAGCGUGCAGGAUGACGGCCCUAUGGGUUGUAAACUGCUUUUAUAAGGGAAUAAAGUGAGAGUCGUGACUCUUUUUGCAUGUACCUUAUGAAUAAGGACCGGCUAAUUCCGUGCCAGCCGCCGCAGUAA